UAACUAGAACACCUAUGACAUGGAAAUAACUAUAAGUCUAUUUACAUGAGAGACUAAGGAACUUCUUGGGAAGAAAACUGUGCUAAGAAAAUUGAAGACUGGUUCUCAAAAGAGGGGUUUAAGGACAAUGGACUCAAGUGAAAUGGAAAAGGAGGUCUAGACUUACAACAGAACUCUGGAGAAGUCAAGCCUGAAACAAAACAAAACAAAACAAAACAAAUUUUGGGCACUUACAGAACUAAGGAACACACAAGAAUGGUAGAAGGAGGGCACGAGAGAGAUCCCCUUUCUUCAGCGAUGAAUACAGAGCAGAGCUCAGUCCACAGAGUGCUCAGUCAGCUAACACACACGGGUCCUCAAUGAGGAGAGUCAGCAGCAAUCAGAGAACAGUGUCCUUGGUGCAUGUAUCAAUGGCACCAGCAUCAGUGCUGGAAGCCUCAUAAAGACACAGGCAGAUAUCACCACUGCCGACAGACAGCCAUGGCAACUUUGAGACACAGUAGACUCCAGAACAGGUGAACCCAGUGAGCAAGGGCAGGAGACUUCUUUCUCUUCUAUAUGCCAUACAAAACGAAAAGAACUGUGUGUAUGCGAAAGCCAAUGUCUUCUAGGGAUUCUCAGCAAAUAUCAGGCUGGGACAUUGGUCUUCUGCUUUAGGACUGGCUUGGACUAGAGCUUAACACCAUUGGUUCUCCUGGUUCUCAGGCCUUUGAACUCAUACUGGCACUAUAUUAUUGGCUUUUCUGGAUCUCCAGCUUGCCUACUACAAAUCUUGGAAUUUCCUAGCCAUCUUAACCAUAUGAACUUUGGAAUGGAAGACAUAUUAGUACUUUGUUUUUGCAAGCUAUCAUGCAUGGAAAAGAUAAACAACUAGCAGGAGUCAUGUAAAUACAGCUGGACUUUCCAGUGAUGUCAUCGUGUUUCAUUGUUUAUCACUCCUUGUUUGCACUAUUCCCCAAUAAAUACAUCCAGGUUCCAUUACCAUGUCCACUCUGCCAAAAAGAAAACUGCAGAUGAAGAGCAGAAGGUCAAUAACUUGCCCAAGGUCAAAUAGCUAUAAGCAGUGGCUAUAGGGCCCAACUCUAUGGCCACAGCAUUAUCCGUUAUAUUGCCCUGUAAAGUCAAAAUGGAUUCCAAAGCAGGUAAUAAAGCAAAAUUUCAGUGGU